CUUGCUGUAUCCUUUGGCCAGUAUCGUUGACGUUACCAACUCCUCGUUGGAUUCGCCUCUGGUGGACUCUUCGCUACCAGAUAAUUGAUAAGGAGAUGAGAGCUGCAUGGGAGGGCCGAUGGAUUCAGAGCUACCACCGCCCAGACGCGCGCUAUCAACUUCUGAGAUGCAAAUCCUUUCACCCAGAGCCAAGGCCAGCGCCUUGCCAAAACCUUCGCGAGGGUCGUACGCCUUGCAGAACGCCAGAAGGAAAGCGGUGUAAUUAACAUUUUCACACCCCACUGCGUACAAGUCGCACAUUAAUUCCCUAGCGAGCAUGAAUCGCACCGUAUUCUGUGGAGUCAUAUUAUAGGAAUUCCCAGAGUACGUGCUACCGCAGAUGGAUUUUUGGCCGGGAAAAAUCGACCCGCAGUCACGCGAUGCGUGAUUAG
rnacentral:misc_RNA from 1 species